rnacentral:ncRNA from 2 species
AUCGCGCAACUUGCGACAGGUUCUCCGGCAACGGGGAUGAAAAGGGAAUGGGGUUCAAGACCCCGGCUGCCCCUGCAACUGUGAGCGGAGAGUCCUCGCACCAUAUGCCAUUGGGAUCGCAAGAUCCUGAGAAGGCGGCGCGAAUUGGCGAUGACCCGCAAGCCAGGAGACCUGCCCGUCGCGGUCGUCCUUC